UACGGGGGGGGCAAGCGUUGUUCGGAAUUACUGGGCGUAAAGGGCGCGUAGGCGGCCUUCUAAGUCGGACGGGAAAUCCCUCGGCUUAACCGAGGAACUGCGUCCGAUACUGGAAGGCUUGAAUCCGGGAGAGGGAUGUGGAAUUCCAGGUGUAGCGGUGAAAUGCGUAGAUAUCUGGAGGAACACCGGUGGCGAAGGCGGCAUCCUGGACCGGCAUUGACGCUGAGGCGCGAAAGCUAGGGGAGCAAACGGG
rnacentral:rRNA from 1 species